UUCAUUAACAAAGACACUGGGAGAGACAUCAAGAGGGUAAAUUAAGAAGGCAUAUUAGAUGACUGUAUAUACUUGAAGGUUCAUUAUGGGAAAUGAAAAAUCAGGGUUGGAAGGAAUAAUCCUGACAGAUGUUAGAAUUUUCUUUUCUUUCCCUUCCUUUUCUUUUCUUUUUUUUACUUCAUUUGGAGAACCUUGCAUUCCUAUAAGCAAGGUACAAGUAAAUCUAUGGGAGAAAAAUCUUAGAGAUGGGACUGCUGGCUCAUUGAGUUUCUUGAUACUUUGUCAAAGACAAACCCAGAAACAGUCACCUCAGGAAGCAUCUACAGGUUGUAACUAAUAACCCUCAAUUCAAAGAAGAAAAAGCCAGAACAUGGCAUAUCAAAGCUGGAAGUUCUGGAAUGUUGCUGCAGACAGUGUUUCUCAAAAUGCUCUCCUCUACCAUCUGAAUCUGAAUCACCUUUGCGGCACAUCUCUACUGAAUUGCAGUUUCUGGAGUGGUUGGCUCACGAAGCAGAUUUUAAGCAAACCAUCUAGGUGAUUCUUAGGCAUAUGGAAAAUUUUACAGCCUUUACAGAUUGUCUUAUCAAACUUGCCCUGACUUACAUAU